rnacentral:ncRNA from 1 species
UAAAGGUUUGGUCCUAGCCUUACUGUUAAUUGUAAUUAAACCUACACAUGCAAGUUUCCGCUAUCCAGUGAGAAUGCCCUUAAGAUUAUUACUUAAUUUAGAGGAGCAGGUAUCAGGCACACCAUGAGUAGCCCACUACACCUUGCUAAACCACACCCCCACGGGAAACAGCAGUGACUAAAAUUAAGCUAUGAACGAAAGUUUGACUAAGUUAUAAUUAAUCCAGGGUUGGUAAAUUUCGUGCCAGCCACCGCGGUCAUACGAUUAACCCAAAUAAACAGAAAAACGGCGUAAAACGUGUUUAAGUGACCCUCCCAAUAAAGCUGAUGUAUAACUAAACUGUAAUACGCUCUAGUUAAUACUAAAAACUACAACUAAAGUGGCUUUAACCCUACUGAACACACGAUAGCUAAGAGACAAACUGGGAUUAGAUACCCCACUAUGCUUAGCCCUAAACCCAAAUGAUUAACCAACAAAAUCAUUCGCCAGAGAACUACUAGCCAACGCUUAAAACUCAAAGGACUUGGCGGUGCCCUAAACCCAUCUAGAGGAGCCUGUUCUAUAAUCGAUAAACCCCGAUAAACCUCACCUCUUUUCGCUAAUACAGCCUAUAUACCGCCAUCGUCAGCUCACCUCAAAAGAGAAACGAAGUAAGCAAGAUUAUGAUCCAUAAAAACGUUAGGUCAAGGUGUAGCAUAUGAAGAGGAAAGUAAUGGGCUACAUUUUCUAUUUUAGAAUACACGGACUAUCUUAUGAAACCUAAGAUACAAAAGGAGGAUUUAGUAGUAAAUUAAGAAUAGAGAGCUUAAUUGAAAUAGGCAAUAGGGCGCGCACACACCGCCCGUCACCCUCCUCAAUUUUACAAACUUUAUUACUAAUACUAAUAUAUUCAUAAAGAGGAGAAAAGUCGUAACAUGGUAAGUGUACUGGAAAGUGCACUUGGAAUAU